rfam:Sporosarcina sp. HYO08 scaffold_1, whole genome shotgun sequence.
CCCGUGCUACAACCGCGCUGAUCAGGUACAAGCAUCCUUAUGGAUCACCUGUGAAGGCGAGUCUGAGUCUAAUG